UACGUAGGGUGCGAGCGUUAAUCGGAAUUACUGGGCGUAAAGCGUGCGCAGGCGGUUCGUUGUGUCCGUCGUGAAAGCCCCGGGCUUAACCCGUGGGAACUGCGAUGGAAACUAGCGAGCUGGAGUGUGGCAGGAGGGGUGGAAUUCCGCGUGUAGCAGUGAAAUGCGUAGAGAUGCGGAGGAACACCGAUGGCGAAAGCAGCCCUGGGCUAACACUGACGCUCAGGCACGAAAGCGUGGGAGCAAACAGG
rnacentral:rRNA from 1 species